AGGACGAACGCUGGCGGCGUGCUUAACACAUGCAAGUCGAACGGUAAGGCCCUUCGGGGUACACGAGUGGCGAACGGGUGAGUAACACGUGGGUGAUCUGCCCUGCACUUCGGGAUAAGCUUGGGAAACUGGGUCUAAUACCGGAUAUGACUACGAAUCGCAUGGUUUGUGGUGGAAAGCUUUUGCGGUGUGGGAUGGGCCCGCGGCCUAUCAGCUUGUUGGUGGGGUGAUGGCCUACCAAGGCGACGACGGGUAGCCGGCCUGAGAGGGUGUCCGGCCACACUGGGACUGAGAUACGGCCCAGACUCCUACGGGAGGCAGCAGUGGGGAAUAUUGCACAAUGGGCGCAAGCCUGAUGCAGCGACGCCGCGUGAGGGAUGACGGCCUUCGGGUUGUAAACCUCUUUCAGUAUCGACGAAGCGCAAGUGACGGUAGGUACAGAAGAACGGACCGGACCAACUACGCGCCAGCAGCCGCGGUAA
rnacentral:rRNA from 1 species